CCAUUUAAAAAAAAUCUCUUUUCACCUUCUCCCUUUUCUGCAGUUACGCUUUCUGAAACGUUUCAAUUGCUUUCGACUCCCCUUCUGAAACAUAACUAUCUCUUUAAUUUUUCACAAAAACUUCUGGAUAAAUUGCUUUCUAUUGUCGCUUAUCUCCUCUGCAACUCUUGCGACGCAGCUUUCUUUUCCACUAGGGUUUGGCCGCACAAAAUCGUCAACUCUGCAACUCUUUGAUUGUUCUUCUGAGAUUAUCUUCUUCCUCCUGAUCCCAAGCGGCAUGGAUAAGAUUUUGAAACCGGGGAAGGUUCGAUCAGUAUCGUAAUUUCACUUCUUCUUCUUCAACUUCGCGAUGAUGCUUCAGUUACCGAGGGCUUAAUUACCAUCUUUCACUUCAUCCUUGCCGUCUUCGCUUCACCAUCACCACUUCAAAGACGAAGCUUCCAGAACCCACCCCGAAAAGUGUGUUCCAGAGGCAUGGAUGGAAGAUAGUGAUGGGAAUGGGAAAGAGAAGGAGUUAGCGGAAGAAAAUGGUUUCCUGAAAGUGUCAGAGGCUUCUAUCAGUUCUACUAAAUCAGGCUAUGGAAAAUCCUGAUAGAAUUUCUCAAGGGCUGAGGCUGCUAAUAGAUCCAGUAAGAAUAACACUUGAAGAGGAUUUUCAGAACAUAAAGCCUCAGGAACUCAAUUGAUUUGCUUAAGUCUGCAAAUCGGCAGUGAUGUUCCUUCAUUAUGCUGGAAACAAUCAAUCACAAUAUUACACUGAUGACUGUGCUACAAAAUGUUAUACUUAUUACAAUGCAUCAUUCAUAUUGCUUUCAUUUUUUAAGACAUGUCUCCUUGGUGUAAGAGCUGUGUGAAUACAACAUGUGUUUCUUUUGCCCUGUUUCAUUGAUUUUCCUUGGUGAGUUUGAAUCUCCAACUUUUGCUGUUAUUAUUUAGUCGGUGUACGCUGCUUUUUAAUAUUACCUUCAUUUUUAAGAGUUUGGUCUCUCUAAUUCUAUUUCUCCUCAUGUGCUUCUUUUUCUUGAACCGACUAUAGUGCUUAUUUUUUUCUGCACUUGGAGCUGAUUCUCUCAACAUAGAAAGAAAAUGACAAUUUUGAAAAAACAACAUGCAAAAGGUUACACUAAAUUAAAUUUUACUAUAAAGUAAAUGGAAGCAUACAGUAUAAAGUUCAUGAGCAUACACUAUAAAAAGUACAUGAUAGUAGCUUCUAGGUUUUAAUUGAAUAUGUUUUGUUUAUUUUUAUUUUCGCAGUUCCAGGGAUCAAGUCUCAAAUAUAAAUUCUAACUUGACAGUUGCAAGGUUUUGGAUUCUCUGCUUCUGCAUGGUUGGUAGAAUUAGUAGGAAAUUAAGGUGGUGAAUCUUAUAUUGGAGUCUUAAAUUGAUAUCACAGCCAGCCAUAUAUUUCAACAGUGUGAUUCAAGUGUAUCAUCUUAUCCAAACUAAAGACAGAUGUUCUCAGGAAGGAAAAAAGUAGGAGUAACGAAGAAGAUAAAUGAGAGUGGAUAUGAGAAUUCUGACUGAACGUUCAAGUUGCAGCAUUGUUGUCUCGCGCCAAGGUAUGAAUCAUCCUUCUUUUUACUUUUUUCACCUUGGCUAUUUAUUUCCUCUUUCACUCCCAUUCCAUGUUAUGGCUUUUUUUUCCUUCUUUGAAGUUUUGUUUUUCAGCCUAUGCAUUCCCAAGACUAUUCACAAGUACAAUGAUUAUAAGGAUGUUGGUUUUUCUAUUUACUGAUUAUAUGAAUAAGAAUUAUGCAAGAAGAGAGAGAAGACUGGGACAGAAAAUGCUAAAAUGAGUGAUUUUAGACUGCAAGAACUUCAAUCUUCCCAGAACAAGAAAGUAAAGUGCUCAACCAGCAGAGGCAGCAACAAAGUGAAGGACAAGGAAGGUAGUGGACAGAAAGAUUCAUAUGCUAAUCAACCUCUGAUCAUUUGUAUCAAGUGAUACGAUGCAUUUAGAAACUGUACAGGUUAUUGUUGUUGAUUCUCAAGAGGAUGAUAGUUCAGAUAAGGGUAUCAGUAUCUCAGCUCUGCUAAUAAAUACUAUUGGCUUAUUUGAGGUCAACACUUUUGGUUAAAAAAUGAUGGCUAGAAUGGUAUAUGUGGAGGUAGAAGGAUUUUGGAAAAAUUGUCAAGGCAUGGCACUGCCCAUUGAGGUUAUUCAAAGGCCAAGUCACUUGAUUUAGGAAUGCAAUUCUUUAGCAGCCCUGAUGAGCUAGCCUUUGAGUGAGCUAGGAUCAAGUUUUCAAGAAUUGGUGCUUUUGAGAAGCAUACUAAAACUGAGCUAGCCAAGAGGAAGUCUUCAAAAAUUGGUGCUUUGGAAGACAUACCAAAGAUUUGGGAUCAAAGGUGAUGGUUAAGACGGUAGGUAGAGAAUCAUAAUGUAAUUACACCAUUGAGUGUUGUUAGGCUACCAAAGUUAUGAGGACUCCAAAAGUUAAUUUAGAUUUCAUUUGUUUUUGUGCUCCUAUUGUAUAUGCUAAAAUGUUGUAUUUUCUCUAUAACAUUUCUUUAAAGAAGAGAAUGUUAUUUGAGAAGUAUCUUUCUAGGGAUUUUACUUAAAUAUGUUGUUUAAAUUGGCAUUGAAGAUGUUUCUUUGCUAAUGAAAGUAGCUUUUAGGCCCUCUUAAAUGUUACUGUAAUUGUGAA